AGAAUCCCCAUGGACAGAGGAGCCUGGCAAACUACAGUCUAUAGGGUUGCAAAGACUCGGAUAAUGACUGAAGUGACUUAGCAUGCACGCAUAUAAGUAUAUAUUUACAUAUGGAUACAUGAGCCCAAAGGAACUUUGAAAGGUGAAGAAAGAUGUGUGUGAAGUGGUAGAACGAUGUCUGGGAAUGCUCAGUAAAUGUGAAUGAUGAUGGUGUCCACCCUGAUGUUGAAGAAUUAAAUACCUCUGACAUUAUGUUUGAACCUCUUCACACUGCUAAUCUUCCCCAGUGUUUGUUGAACUUUGAAUCUCUACUUUGUGCCAGUUGCUAGGUUAGAUGCUGCUAACUGGCUUCCCUGGUGGCUCAGCGGUGAAGAAUCUGCCUGCAGUGCAGGAGCCGCAGGAGCUGCGGGUUUGAUUCCUGAGUCAGGAAGAUCCCCUGGAGGAGGGCAUGGCAACCCCCUCCAGUAUUCUUGCCUGGAGAAUCCCAUGGUCAGAGGAGCCUGGUGGGCUACAGUCCAGAGGGCACAAAGAGUUGGACAUGAUUGAAGUGACCUAGCAUGCAUGCAACCUGCUACUGGUGAUCUUGCUCUUGUGAAGGAGACAGAUACCAAAUACAGCCUCUUACAGCCUUUGUGCUGGCUUUUUUAUAAUCCAGAUUUCAUGGAUUCUGGUGUGAAACCAUCUUCCAGAUCAUCACACUUUUUAAUUGUUUAUGAAUGUAAUUCAAGGACUAUUGGUUAUUUACCACUGAAGCUCCAUUCUGCACAGGUAGUGCCUGGUACAGAACAUGGACCUUGUAAAUAUUUGCUGAAUGAAGGAAUUAAGAGCUUUAGGAGACCAGAUUUCAGUGUUUAUUGAGUGUGGGCAUUUUGUCUCAUAUUUGUGGGCACUCGGGUGGAUCCUUUUGCAUAGCGUUGGUUUGAAUCUGAGUCUUUUCAGUCUCUGUUUUACCUUAAAAUAACUCUCAAUUCUUAUGGAAGUCACAGUUUCCCACAUGGCUUUGGGAAUUAACAACUGCUUCCCAAAGCCAUUUUGCAAAAGAAAGGAACUGUGGCUUCUGUUCUACAGACUGUGUACCUUCAACCCUCCUACUGGUAAUCAAGUUAGAAUUUCAGAGUAAGAUCUUCCAAAGACAGUAUUCCUCUAGGUAGCCAUGGUCUGGAGUGUAGAGUUAAGGGUGUAGGUGUAGGAGAGGGGCUGAAUAGAGAGAGAAAGAAGAGGAGCCCAUACUCUUGGGAACUUACAGGCAUUUCUUUAAAUGCCUCAGAAACCUGAACUGUAUAAUUUUAGAGCAACAGAUAACUUUUAGACUAGCCUGUGCUUUAUUUUCCAAAUUUUUUCACCCAUCCAUACCUCAUGUACUUGUUGAUAUACCAAUUAAUUCAAAUCCUCAAUGUAUUAAACACAUAUGCCA